rnacentral:misc_RNA from 1 species
GGAAUUUCAUACUUUUCUUCCUGUUCACAUACUUUUCUUCGUAGACAUGCUUUUACCCAUUCAAAUUUUAGAAUCCAGCAUCCAUUGAGAAUCCCAAGCAUACACUUCAAGGUACUUUGAACUGCAUCACCAGGAACAACAACAUGAGUUACUGUACUGUCAAACUCAGUAUAUUUUUUAGCCUUAAGAAUUACUGCAAGCUCA